rnacentral:rRNA from 1 species
AGCGAACGCUGGCGGCAGGCCUAACACAUGCCAGUCGAACGAAGUCUUCCGACUUCGUGCCGGACGGGUGAGUACCACGUGGGAACGAGCCUUUAGGUUCGGACUAACUGAGGGAAACCUGUGCUAAUACCGAAUGUGCCCUUAGGGGGAAAGAUUGAUCGCCUUUAGAGCGGCCCGCGUCUGAUUAGCUAGUUGGUGAGGUAAAGGCUCACCAAGGCGACGAUCAGUAGCUGGUCUGAGAGGAUGAUCAGCCACAAUGGGACUACGACACGGACCAAACUACUACGGGAGGCAGCAGUGGGGAAUCUUGCGCAAUGGGAGAAAGCCUGACGCAGCCAUGCCGCGUGAAUGAUGAAGGUCUUAGGAUUGUAUAAUUCUUUCACCGGGGACGAUAAUGACGGUACCCGGAGAAGAAGCCCCGGCUAACUUCGUGCCAGCAGCCGCAGUAACAC